GAUGAUUGGAGCUUGCUCCAUGAUUCAGCGGCGGACGGGUGAGUAAUGCCUAGGAAUCUGCCUGGUAGUGGGGGACAACGUUUCGAAAGGAACGCUAAUACCGCAUACGUCCUACGGGAGAAAGUGGGGGAUCUUCGGACCUCACGCUAUCAGAUGAGCCUAGGUCGGAUUAGCUAGUUGGUGAGGUAAAGGCUCACCAAGGCGACGAUCCGUAACUGGUCUGAGAGGAUGAUCAGUCACACUGGAACUGAGACACGGUCCAGACUCCUACGGGAGGCAGCAGUGGGGAAUAUUGGACAAUGGGCGAAAGCCUGAUCCAGCCAUGCCGCGUGUGUGAAGAAGGUCUUCGGAUUGUAAAGCACUUUAAGUUGGGAGGAAGGGCAGUAAGUUAAUACCUUGCUGUUUUGACGUUACCGACAGAAUAAGCACCGGCUAACUUCGUGCCAGCAGCCGCGGUAAUACGAAGGGUGCAAGCGUUAAUCGGAAUUACUGGGCGUAAAGCGCGCGUAGGCGGGUGCCUAAGCCGGAUGUGAAAGCCCCGGGCUUGAGCUGGGUCCUGCAGCUGACACGGGGCGACUAGAGUACGAGAGCGGGGGGGAGAAAUCCACGUGUAGCGGUGAAAUGCGUAGAUAUGUGGAGGAAUACCAGUGGCGAAGGCGGCUCCCUGGCUUGAUACUGACGCUGAGGUGCGAAAGCGUGGGGA
rnacentral:ncRNA from 1 species